rnacentral:rRNA from 1 species
GGUUGAUCCUGCCAGUAGUCAUAUGCUUGUCUCAAAGAUUAAGCCAUGCAUGUCUAAGUUCAAGCAAAAAUAAUGUGAAACCGCGAAUGGCUCAUUAUAUCAGUUAUGGUUCCUUAGAUCGCACUUACUACUUGGAUAACUGUGGUAAUUCUAGAGCUAAUACAUGCGUUGGACUCCAAACUUUACGGUGAGGAGUGCUUUUAUUAGAUCAAAGCCAAUCGGGUCUUCGGAUUCGUUUUGUUGGUGACUCUGAAUAACUUUGCUGAUCGCACGGUCUUGCACCGGCGACGUAUCUUUCAAGUGUCUGCCUUAUCAACUGUCGAUGGUAGGUUAUGCGCCUACCAUGGUUGUAACGGGUAACGGGGAAUCAGGGUUCGAUUCCGGAGAGGGAGCCUGAGAAACGGCUACCACAUCCAAGGAAGGCAGCAGGCGCGCAAAUUACCCACUCCCGGCACGGGGAGGUAGUGACGAAAAAUAACGAUACGGAACUCAUACGAGGCUCCGUAAUCGGAAUGAGUACACUUUAAAUCCUUUAACGAGGAUCUAUUGGAGGGCAAGUCUGGUGCCAGCAGCCGCGGUAAUUCCAGCUCCAAUAGCGUAUAUUAAAGUUGUUGUGGUUAAAAAGCUCGUAGUUGGAUCUCGGUUUCGGGUGGAUGGUGCAUCUUGCGGUGUUUACUAUCUACUCGGACGAUUUUGUUGGUUCGUUCCUGGUUCUCUUAAUCGAGUGCCUUGAGUGGCCAACACGUUUACUUUGAAAAAAUUGGAGUGCUCAAAGCAGGCGCUACAGCCUGAACAUUAGUGCAUGGAAUAAUGGAAUAGGAUCUCGGUUCUAUUUCGUUGGCUUUCGGAGUCGAGGUAAUGAUUAAUAGGGACAGACGGGGGCAUUCGUACUGCGACGUUAGAGGUGAAAUUCUUGGAUCGUCGCAAGACGAACUACUGCGAAAGCAUUUGCCAAGAAUGUUUUCAUUAAUCAAGAACGAAAGUUAGAGGUUCGAAGGCGAUCAGAUACCGCCCUAGUUCUAACCAUAAACGAUGUCGACCGGCAAUCUGCUCUCGUUAAAUUAAUGACUGAGCAGGCGGCCUGCUGGAAACAAGAGUAUUUGGAUUCCAGGGGGAGUAUGGUUGCAAAGCUGAAACUUAAAAGAAUUGACGGAAGGGCACCACCAGGAGUGGAGCCUGCGGCUUAAUUUUACCCAACACGGGAAAUCUCACCAGGCCCGGACACCGGAAGGAUUGACAGAUUGAGAGCUCUUUCUUGAUUCGGUGGGUGGUGGUGCAUGGCCGUUCUUAGUUGGUGGAGCGACAGGCAAGUCUAGUACGCACCUUCUAGAUCUUCAUCUUUGCCCCCCUAGAUCGGAAGAGCACACGUCUGAACUCCAGUCACAUCUCGUAUGCCG